GGAAUAUUGCACAAUGGGCGCAAGCCUGAUGCAGCGACGCCGCGUGAGGGAUGACGGCCUUCGGGUUGUAAACCUCUUUCAGCAGGGAAGAAGCGAAAGUGACGGUACCUGCAGAAGAAGCACCGGCUAACUACGUGCCAGCAGCCGCGGUAAUACGUAGGGUGCGAGCGUUGUCCGGAAUUAUUGGGCGUAAAGAGCUUGUAGGCGGUUUGUCGCGUCUGCUGUGAAAAUCCGGGGCUCAACCCCGGACUUGCAGUGGGUACGGGCAGACUAGAGUGUGGUAGGGGAGACUGGAAUUCCUGGUGUAGCGGUGAAAUGCGCAGAUAUCAGGAGGAACACCGAUGGCGAAGGCAGGCCUCUGGGCCACUACUGACGCUGAGAAGCGAAAGCAUGGGGAGCGAACAGGAUUAGAUACCCCUG
rnacentral:rRNA from 1 species